GCAUUGUAUAAAAACUUCUCUAGCUGCUGUGUCACAAAGAUACUGGAAAGGGGCAAGGUGAAGGAGGAGACCAGCAGAGCAGCCACGGCCGGGACAGUGCAGAGGAGGGAAGAUGACACAGCUGUGAGACAUUUUGGGGAAUAGGUCCUUCUGUCACGGGGCACAGGACCCUUGACCGCAAAAUGACGUGAGUUACCACUGACUAUUUUCUGGGUCUUGAUCUUGUGACUCCAAAUGGAUGGUACAGCUUGAGCAAAGACACAGAAGCAGAAGGCAGGUUUUUGGUUCCAUGAACUCUACAUCUGGCUACAUACAAAUGGUGAAGAGGAACAGGGAGAAACAUGGUUGAAAAGAACAGGCUUGGACUUCAGGAAGCAGUAAAAUGAGCGAAUGCCAUUUAUGGUUACAAAGAUAACUCAGCUGGGGGCCAAACAGAGACUGAAAUGGAGUGGGUGAGGAUGGAGGCCGGGAGGAGAUGGCUGCAGAGGUCCCAGCAAUGACAGUGGUUGUGGGAAGGGGCAACCCCAAGUCUUGUGCUCCCAACUGCAAAUCCAGUGCUUUUUCUAAAAAAAUAUUUAAAUAAUUUAUUUAUUUUUGAGAUGGAGUCUCGCUCUGUCACCCAGGCUGGAGUGCAGUGACACAAUGUCGGCUCGUGCAACCUCUGCCCCCCGGGUUCAAGCGAUUCUCCUGCCUCAGCCUCCCAAGUAGCUGGGAUUACAGACGCACGCCUCCACGCCUGGCUAAUUUUUUAUAUUUUUGGUAGAGAUGGGGUUUCACCAUGUUGCCCAGGCUGGUCUCGAACUCCUGACUUCAAGUGAUCCACCCACCUCGGCCUCCCAAAGUACUAGGAUGACAGGCGUGAGCCACUGUGCCCAGCCUUAUUUUUUUUUUUAAUUUAUAUUUUCAGAGGCAAACGAUCCUUGCUCAUUAAAAAAAGGAAAUAGAAAUUCAAAACAAAAAUGCCUGUAUCUGAUGGGAAAGAUGAGCCCAAUGUUCUUUUUUAAAAAACCUUUAUUAUGAAAUAUUUCAACUGAACAUAUGCAGUUUAUAUUGUUAUAAAGCAUAACAAGCAAUCAAACAGCUGUGAACCCACCACUCCAUGUCAGAACUAGAACUUCCCAAAGCAGUCGGAGCUGAGGUGAGAUCCACUCUGAUGCCCUUCCCCAACUCCACGCCACCCCCCAAGACCUGACCACCUGAUUACUCUGGGAUUUCAUUUUUGUCUCGUUCCCUUGCUUUGCUUUAUGUCUUUACCAAAUGUGAAUGUGUGCCUAAACAAUACAGUGCUCGAUUUGCUUGUGUUUAAGCUUUAUUACAAAUAUAACUUUGAUCCUUCUGCUACUUGCAAUUCUAAAUUUGAUAUUACGAGUCUCAGCCUCAUCGGCGUUGAUGCGUGUGACCGACAUUGAUUCACUCUCACCAGUACGUGGUGUGUUCCGUUGCAUGCAUGCACCCCUGCUGGGGUAUCCAUUCUCCUGUUGGUGGACCUUUGGGUGGUAUUAGUUGCUGGUCAUCUCCAUGGUGCUGUCCUCUUGCAGGUCUCCAGGACACAUGUGCAUGAGUUCCUCUAGGAAACCACGGUGUACAACUGCUGGGUUGCAGGCCCAGGGUUCUUUCCACUUCUCUAUCCUCCCAAGUAGGGUCCAGCUGGCCUUAGUGCUGCCAUGCUGAGAGCUCUGGGAGGGGCAACCCAGGGCAGACAGGCCCAGGCCAGCCACCCUGCCCCAGGCAUUUCCCAGGACUCAUCAGGCACCCAGCGGCCCCUCAGCAGUGAGCAAUACCAGAAAUCUGCCAGCUGGCUACUAACUGGGUCACAAGAGAGUACUGCUGU
rnacentral:lncRNA from 1 species